rnacentral:rRNA from 1 species
AGAGUUUGAUCCUGGCUCAGGAUAAACGCUGGCGGCGCACAUAAGACAUGCAAGUCGAACGAACUUAACCAUUAGUUUACUAUUGGAGCUGUUAGUGGCGGACUGGUGAGUAACACGUAAGCAACCUGCCUAUCAGGAGGGGAACAACAGUUAGAAAUGACUGCUAAUACCGCAUAUGCCUUAGAAUCACAUGGUUACAAAAAGGGAAAGGAGCAAUCCACUGAUAGAUGGGCUUGCGU